rnacentral:lncRNA from 1 species
UGGACUUGUCUAUCUAUCCUGAUGUGUUCCUUCCCCAGGAAACCCACCCUCAGGCACGGAACUGAAACUCACCAGAUCACCGCAUCCAGAGGAUGAGAUCCCAGACCCCUCACUCAGCAGCAUUGCUUCCCUACUGCUUCCUAACUUCUUCCUGCAGCAGAAGGCAGAUCGAAUACAGGGCAGGCUCCUUGGGCAAGAUCAACUUGCAUAAACCAAGUGGCACUGAAGACACAGAGGACAGGGCAAAGCAGCGGCUCUAUGUGCUAACCAAAUAUGGAGGCAGGGGAGCCGGAGUAUCAAAAACACCACAGCAAAACGUGACUGUAGCUGUUAAAGCCUAAUGCACACACCCUAUAAUCCAGCAAUUUCACUUCCAGAUGCUUCCCUAAGGAAGCCCUCAUGUGG